rnacentral:lncRNA from 1 species
GGCAGAAUGGUGGAUUAAUGUUUGCAACCUAUUUAUAUAGAUAUGGUAACCGGCGGUUGAGUUAACCGGCGGUUCAGAUUGAACCGGCGGUUAAGUUAACCAGGGGUUCAGAUUUAACCGGCGGUUCAGAGUUAACCGGCCGAUCAAAGUUAUCCAGUGGAUAAAUAUGUAUCUGGUUGAUAUCUAAACAAGUUCAAUUAUCCUUUCAGUGAAAAAUCCCAGUGGGAUUUUCCAUGGUUACAAUUAUCUAUAUUUAGCUAAUGU